AAAAUCCGUCGACUUUUUAAAUCGUGAGGGUUCAA
rnacentral:tRNA from 2 species